AGCGAACGCUGGCGGCAGGCUUAACACAUGCAAGUCGAGCGGGCGUAGCAAUACGUCAGCGGCAGACGGGUGAGUAACGCGUGGGAACGUGCCUUUUGGUUCGGAACAACACAGGGAAACUUGUGCUAAUACCGGAUAAGCCCUUACGGGGAAAGAUUUAUCGCCAAAAGAUCGGCCCGCGUCUGCAUAGCUUGUUGGUGAGGUAACGGCUCACCAAGGCUACGAUCAGUAGCUGGUCUGAGAGGAUGAUCAGCCACACUGGGACUGAGACACGGCCCAGACUCCUACGGGAGGCAGCAGUGGGGAAUAUUGGACAAUGGGCGCAAGCCUGAUCCAGCCAUGCCGCGUGAGUGAUGAAGGCCCUAGGGUUGUAAAGCUCUUUCGGCGGGGAAGAUAAUGACGGUACCCGCAUAAGAAGCCCCGGCUAACUUCGUGCCAGCCGCCGCCGUAAUAC
rnacentral:rRNA from 1 species